rnacentral:rRNA from 1 species
AUUGAACGCUGGCGGCAGGCCUAACACAUGCAAGUCGAACGAGUGGCGGACGGGUGAGUAAUGUCUGGGAAACUGCCCGAUGGAGGGGGAUAACUACUGGAAACGGUAGCUAAUACCGCAUACCAUCGGAUGAGCCCAGAUGGGAUUAGCGAGUAGGUGGGGUAACGGCCCACCUAGGCGACGAUCCCUAGCUGGUUUGAGAGGAUAACCAGCCCCACUGGAACUGAGACACGGUCCAGACUCCUAGGGGAGGCAGCAUUGGUGAAUAUGGCACAAUGGGCGCAAGCCUGAUGCAGCCAUGCCGCGUGUAUGAAGAAGGCCUUCGGGUUGUAAAGUACUUUCAGCGAGGAGGCGUUACUCGCAGAAGAAGCACCGGCUAACUCCGUGCCAGCAGCCGCGGUAAAC